CACAUGUCAACCGAGUCACAAAAAAUACAACAGCAAAAAUAAAACAUUUGGACUCGGGUGCAAAAGGUCUUGCAGCUAUGGGCCAGACUUAUUUUAGACUAUGGAGGCAACAACAAUCUAACAAACGAAUCACAACUAACCAAAACACAGGGCCAAAUGAAUUUGUGGCGCCAAAGGGGAAACAAAAUAAAUACAGGAUAAGAAUACGUGAAAAGCAGGCGCAACAAAUCGAUUUACGACUAGAGAAAAAACAAUGAACAAAAGAAAGAAAGAGAGCAAGGGAGAGAUUGGAAAGAAACCAUGUUUGGCUAGUUCCAGGAAACAUCAAUGACUUUACUAAAAAUGGAUGAUCCAAGCGUAAAAUCCUCGCUACAACUAUUGGAACAUACUUUCAAAGGAAUCCUCGUUGAAUUGAGCUAAAUGGAUAUGCUCGCUUUGACACCCUUAGCUCAGAAGGAUAUAGUUCAUAUAUUUAAGCCGAUUGUAGAGCUGACGGAUCGGAAAAAAACUUUAUUCAAUACAGUUUUAGACAAAGAAACUCAAAA
rnacentral:sRNA from 1 species